ensembl:misc_RNA Metazoa_SRP Metazoan signal recognition particle RNA
GCCGGGCAUGGUGUUGCGUGCCUGCAGUCCCAGCUACUCGGGAGGCUGCGGUGGGAGGAUCGCUUGAGCCCAGGAGUUCUGGGCUGUAGUGCGCUGUGCCGAUCAGGUGUCUGCACUGUUUGGCAUCAAUAUGGUGACCUCCCAGGAGUGGGGGAACCACCAGGUUGCCUAACGUGGGGUUAACCCGCCCAGGUCAGAAAUGGAGCAGGUCAAAACUCCCGUGCUGAUCAGUAGUGGGACUGUACCCGUGAAGAGCCACUGCACUCCAUCCUGGGCAACAUAGCAAGACCCCAUCUCCA